AUGUUGAAAAAGGACAUUAAAAUUCCAAAAGUAAUUACUCCUGUUGAUGUGGUACAAAAGAAUAAUCCUCUAGUUAAUGGAAUCACAAAGUUAUCGGGAAAAUGGCAUAAGCGUUGGCCUGACAUUGAACAACCAUGGCCAGUGGAAGGGACUCUCAACCCGGAUGUAAUUAAAAUAAUGCAAGUGCUUGUGUCCACGUAUAAGGCAGAUCAAAAAAAGGGGAAAAAAGGGGAACAACGUAAAGAAAAGAGACAAAUAGAGCUUGGUAUUCUCAAGUUGUUUGAAAAUGAGGGACAGAAACUGAUAAAAGCUGCAAAAGAUAAUAGAGAUAGAGGUACAGAAAAAAUGGUAAAAGAUGCGAAAGUAACAGAAAAACUAAUGGCGGAAAUCAAUAUACCUUUUUCACAUACGGAUCCAGCAAAGAAACCCCCACCUUAUGAGGAGGAGUUGAAGUUUAAGGACAUUUAUCCUCAACUUCCAGUGAUCAGUCAGGAGGGCGAAUACUGCAUCAGAGAUGAAGAUGACCGAAUAAUAGAAAUAGGACAAGCGGAAACAACUAUAAAGAUGAAUCCAAGCUCCAAAAGUACGAAGAAAAUGACACGCCUGGAAACCAAGGGUAGACUGAGGACUAGGAAGAUGGAAUUUGAAGAUGAUGAUGAAAGUGAUUCAGAGGAGAUCAUGGGUGGAUAUGACCCUGUGGUCAGACGGAAGCUGGCCAGAGCGGAAAGAAGAGGUGAUGAAAGAUGGAAGAAAAAGGACACAGGAGAUUAUAUCUCUGAUGAAAGUGAAAAUGGAGACAGCGAUGGAGAUUGGGAAAGUAAAGGAGCUACAGGCUCGAGAGGAUUUUAUCCUGCGACGUCUAGCACCAGAAUAGAAGAGAUUGAAAGAGGUAUAGACCGAUGCUUUUCGUACUUGAAUAAGUCACUUAAACCAGAAGACACAAGAGAAUUGGAAGACCAGUUAGAGAAGCUGAAGAUGCAGAGGGAAAAGUUGCGGAAAAAAGAGUCCCAAAAAUUGGAGAGGAGAUAUACCUUGCGUCCAAGAAAAGGGAAGACACUUGAGAAGAUGUUUCCAGUGAUCAUCAGAGGACAGAAUUUGGAGUACAAGCCUUGGCAGAGUACAGAUAUGUCAGAUAUACUUGAGAAGUUGCCUACUCUUCAAGAUGGAGCACAUCCUUGGAUUUCAAAGUUGGAAGAAAUUACGGUGGGAACACAGUCUGCCAUAGGAGACAUUAAGAGACUUUUGGCUAAUCUCCUUGGGGUUCCGGCUAUGGAAGAAAUUCUACAGAAAGCUGGACUUAAUCGAUAUGUGGGGACUGCUGUGAAUGAUCCUGAGUUGUUUGCUGCAAGUAGAGGUCGAAUGUGGAGAGCGCUGAGAGAGACGUUUCCAACAAAUGAG
rnacentral:lncRNA from 15 species